rnacentral:rRNA from 1 species
AACGAACGUUAGCGGCGCGCUUAACACAUGCAAGUUGAACGAGAAAGUCCUUCGGGAUGAGUACAGUGGCGCACGGGUGAGUAACACGUGGGUAACCAAUCCUCUGGCGGGGGACAACAUCUGGAAACGGAUGCUAAUACCGCAUAAGUCGGCUCUAUGGACGAGUCGGGAAAGACGGCUUCGGCUGUCACCGGAGGCUGGGCCCGCGGCCCAUCAGCUUGUUGGCAGGGUAAAGGCCUACCAAGGCUACGACGGGUAACUGGUCUGAGAGGAUGAUCAGUCACACUGGAACUGAGACACGGUCCAGACUCCUACGGGAGGCAGCAGUGGGGAAUAUUGCGCAAUGGGCGAAAGCCUGACGCAGCGACGCCGCGUGAGUGAUGAAGGCCUUCGGGUCGUAAAGCUCUGUUGGAGAGGGAAGAACAAGCAUUCGGAAUAAUACCCGGGUGCCCUGACGGU